rfam:Dipodomys ordii contig_18687, whole genome shotgun sequence.
GGGAAAGUGGCUCAGUGGUAGAGUGCUUGCCUUGCAUGCAUGAGGCCCUGGGUUCGAUUCCCCAGCACCA